rnacentral:ribozyme from 15 species
GUCAACCUUUUUCAUUUUUCAUAGUUGCCUUAUCGUCAAUCUAACGAAAGAUGAAGUUAGAAGAAAAUAAUUUAAAGCAUUCCUUUGCAAAAUUGUGCACGAUUACUCUGCUUGUACCCGAGGGAAAAAACACGAAUAAAUAUUGAUUACUUACCUUUCUUCACCAAACAAUACUACAAAGUAUAUUCUAGCUCAGGAGAAAGCUAGUUCGGCAAUGAUACUAGUCUAUGGAGAUGACUUCUUGAGUGGGUUUCUUCUUCUUGGCAUCCUCCCUGCGUUCUUCUGAAUCAUAACGUUUUCUUUUCUCAGCCAUUAAAUUCCAAGAGCCGUCAG